rnacentral:tRNA from 1 species
GGGUUAGUAACUUAAUUGGUAAAGGGUUUUCUUGUCGAGAAAAUUGAUAUCGGAUCGUAGCCGAUUUAACCCG